rnacentral:rRNA from 1 species
UGGGGAAUUUUGGACAAUGGGCGCAAGCCUGAUCCAGCCAUGCCGCGUGAGUGAAGAAGGCCUUCGGGUUGUAAAGCUCUUUCAGACGGAAAGAAAUCUCUUGGGCGAAUACCCUGGGAGGAUGACGGUACCGUAAGAAGAAGCACCGGCUAACUACGUGCCAGCAGCCGCGGUAAUACGUAGGGUGCAAGCGUUAAUCGGAAUUACUGGGCGUAAAGCGUGCGUAGGUGGUGGUUUAAGUCGGAUGUGAAAGCCCUGGGCUCAACCUGGGAACUGCAUUUGAUACUGGAUCACUAGAGUGCGGUAGAGGAUAGUGGAAUUCCCGGUGUAGCAGUGAAAUGCGUAGAGAUCGGGAGGAACACCAGUGGCGAAGGCAAUCCCCUGGGCCUGCACUGACGCUCAUGCACGAAAGCGUGGGGAUCAAACA